rnacentral:rRNA from 1 species
GACGAACGCUGGCGGCGUGCUUAACACAUGCAAGUCGAACGGAAAGGCCCUGCUUUUGUGGGGUGCUCGAGUGGCGAACGGGUGAGUAACACGUGAGUAACCUGCCCUUGACUUUGGGAUAACUUCAGGAAACUGGGGCUAAUACCGGAUAGGAGCUCCUGCUGCAUGGUGGGGGUUGGAAAGUUUCGGCGGUUGGGGAUGGACUCGCGGCUUAUCAGCUUGUUGGUGGGGUAGUGGCUUACCAAGGCUUUGACGGGUAGCCGGCCUGAGAGGGUGACCGGCCACAUUGGGACUGAGAUACGGCCCAGACUCCUACGGGAGGCAGCAGCGGGGAAUAUUGCACAAUGGGCGGAAGCCUGAUGCAGCAACGCCGCGUGCGGGAUGACGGCCUUCGGGUUGUAAACCGCUUUCGCCUGUGACGAAGCGUGAGUGACGGUAAUGGGUAAAGAAGCACCGGCUAACUACGUGCCAGCAGCCGCGGUGAUACGUAGGGUGCGAGCGUUGUCCGGAUUUAUUGGGCGCAAAGGGCUCGUAGGUGGUUGAUCGCGUCGGAAGUGUAAUCUUGGGGCUUAACCCUGAGCGUGCUUUCGAUACGGGUUGACUUGAGGAAGGUAGGGGAGAAUGGAAUUCCUGGUGGAGCGGUGGAAUGCGCAGAUAUCAGGAGGAACACCAGUGGCGAAGGCGGUUCUCUGGGCCUUUCCUGACGCUGAGGAGCGAAAGCGUGGGGAGCGAACAGGCUUAGAUACCCUGGUAGUCCACGCUGUAAACGGUGGGUACUAGGUGUGGGGUCCAUUCCACGGGUUCCGUGCCGUAGCUAACGCUUUAAGUACCCCGCCUGGGGAGUACGGCCGCAAGGCUAAAACUCAAAGGAAUUGACGGGGCCCCGCACAAGCGGCGGAGCAUGCGGAUUAAUUCGAUGCAACGCGUAGAACCUUACCUGGGUUUGACAUGGAUCGGGAGCGCUCAGAGAUGGGUGUGCCUCUUUUGGGGUCGGUUCACAGGUGGUGCAUGGCUGUCGUCAGCUCGUGUCGUGAGAUGUUGGGUUAAGUCCCGCAACGAGCGCAACCCUUGUUCACUGUUGCCAGCACGUUAUGGUGGGGACUCAGUGGAGACCGCCGGGGUCAACUCGGAGGAAGGUGGGGAUGACGUCAAGUCAUCAUGCCCCUUAUGUCCAGGGCUUCACGCAUGCUACAAUGGCUGGUACAGAGAGUGGCGAGCCUGUGAGGGUGAGCGAAUCUCGGAAAGCCGGUCUCAGUUCGGAUUGGGGUCUGCAACUCGACCUCAUGAAGUCGGAGUCGCUAGUAAUCGCAGAUCAGCAACGCUGCGGUGAAUACGUUCCCGGGGCU